UACGUAGGUGGCAAGCGUUGUCCGGAUUUACUGGGCGUAAAGAGCGCGCAGGCGGUCGUUUAAGUCGAAUGUGAAAGCCCCCGGCUCAACUGGGGAGGGUCAUUCGAUACUGAUCGACUUGAAGGCAGGAGAGGGAAGUGGAAUUCCGGGUGUAGUGGUGAAAUGCGCAGAUAUCAGGAAGAACACCCGUGGCUAAGGCGGCUCUCUAGUACGGUACUGACGCUGAGACGCGAAAGCGUGGGGAGCGAACAGG
rnacentral:rRNA from 1 species